rnacentral:rRNA from 1 species
AUUGAACGCUGGCGGCAUGCCUUACACAUGCAAGUCGAACGGCAGCACGGGUGCUUGCACCUGGUGGCGAGUGGCGAACGGGUGAGUAAUAUAUCGGAACGUACCUUAUUGUGGGGGAUAACGCAGCGAAAGCUGUGCCAAUACCGCAUAAUCCCUAAGGGGGAAAGCGGGGGACCGUAAGGCCUCGCGCAAUUAGAGCGGCCGAUACCUGAUUAGCUGGUUGGUGAGGUAAAGGCUCACCAAGGCAACGAUCAGUAGCUGGUCUGAGAGGACGAUCAGCCACACUGGGACUGAGACACGGCCCAGACUCCUACGGGAGGCAGCAGUGGGGAAUUUUGGACAAUGGGGGCAACCCUGAUCCAGCAAUGCCGCGUGAGUGAAGAAGGCCUUCGGGUUGUAAAGCUCUUUUGUCAGGAAAGAAACAGCAGCUCUAACACAGUUUGCGAAUGACGGUACCUGAAGAAUAAGCACCGGCUAACUACGUGCCAGCAGCCGCAGUAA